rnacentral:rRNA from 1 species
UAGGGAAUCUUCCACAAUGGGCGAAAGCCUGAUGGAGCAACGCCGCGUGUGUGAUGAAGGCUUUCGGGUCGUAAAGCACUGUUGUAUGGGAAGAACAGCUAGAAUAGGAAAUGAUUUUAGUUUGACGGUACCAUACCAGAAAGGGACGGCUAAAUACGUGCCUG